rnacentral:rRNA from 1 species
GGGAGGUCCAGCACACCAGCGGUUUGGAGUAUGCUGUGGAAGCUUCGAAUUCCAUGUAAAGUGCAAAUUUUCUGCUGGCGGGCACUACAUGGGAUCUUACCCCUAAAGUCAAUACUUACUAAUAGGCAUGUUGGUACAGCUGGUGCUUGCCCCAUAUGCCACAAUGCGGCUGAAGAUGUGAGGCACCUGUUAUUUGAUUGUUCCCAUGCUACAGAGAUGUGGUCACGGCUCAGAAUCUUGGAUAUUAUCAAUGAAGCAAAAAUGGUUGAUCGUUCUGGGUCAAUCAUUCUAGAACAUAUCCUGGUAGGCCCACCAAGACAAGUGCCAAUCAAACCAAAUUUGGAUGUGAAGCAGAUCAUAACGGUGGGAGGAUGGUACCUGUGGUGGAUCCGACGCCAGUAUACUCAUAAUGGUUCCCCUCCACCACCUUUCAAAUGGCCUAUAUCUGUCCUUACUAUAUCUAAUAAUUUCGAUCAGGCAAACGCUAAGAAAACUGCCCCAGUGCAAGAUAGAUGGGAGAAGCCGGAGCCUAGAUAUGUUAAGCUAAAUGUUGAUGCAACAUUUUAUGUCGAAGAAGGAGUGGGAGCAACUGCUGCGGUUAUCAGAGAUGUGAAUGGUUCCUUUCUUGUAGCUCAAUGUAUCUACAUUCCCGUUGCAUCAAACGUGGUCGCGACUGAAGCUUUGGCAAUGCGGGUUGGCCUGAAGUUCGCAAGUGAUGUCUACUACGCAACCUUCUUCUUGUAG